rnacentral:rRNA from 1 species
GAGUUUGAUUAUGGCUCAGGAUGAACGCUGGCGGCGUGCCUAACACAUGCAAGUCGAACGAAGCGUAUGGAAGGAAGUUUUCGGAUGGAAUUCUAUAUGACUUAGUGGCGGACGGGUGAGUAACGCGUGGAUAAUCUGCCUUACACAGCGGGAUAACAAGUGGAAACAGUUGCUAAUACCGCAUAAGCACACAGUAUCGCAUGAUAUAGGGUGAAAAGAUUUAUCGGUGUAAGAUGAGUCCGCGUCCCAUUAGCUAGUUGGAGAGGUAAAGGCUUACCAAGGCGACGAUGGGUAGCCGGCCUGAGAGGGUGAACGGCCACAUUGGGACUGAGACACGGCCCAGACUCCUACGGGAGGCAGCAGUGGGGGAUAUUGCACAAUGGGCGAAAGCCUGAUGCAGCGACGCCGCGUGAAGGAUGAAGUAUUUCGGUAUGUAAACUUCUAUCAGCAGGGAAGAAAAUG